rnacentral:rRNA from 1 species
AAAAAAAGCUUCUAAGCUUCAGGUAACCAGGAACCGUACCCCAAACCGACACAGGUGGUUGGGUAGAGAAUACCAAGGCGCUUGAGAGAACUCGGGUGAAGGAACUAGGCAAAAUGGCACCGUAACUUCGGGAGAAGGUGCGCCGGUGAGGGUGAAGCAUUUACUGCGUAAGCCCACGCCGGUCGAAGAUACCAGGCCGCUGCGACUGUUUAUUAAAAACACAGCACUCUGCAAACACGAAAGUGGACGUAUAGGGUGUGACGCCUGCCCGGUGCCGGAAGGUUAAUUGAUGGGGUUAGCUAACGCGAAGCUCUUGAUCGAAGCCCCGGUAAACGGCGGCCGUAACAAUAACGGUCCUAAGGUAGCGAAAUUCCUUGUCGGGUAAGUUCCGACCUGCACGAAUGGCGUAACGAUGGCGGCGCUGUCUCCACCCGAGACUCAGUGAAAUUGAAAUCGCUGUGAAGAUGCAGUGUAUCCGCGGCUAGACGGAAAGACCCCGUGAACCUUUACUAUAGCUUUGCACUGGACUUUGAAUUUGCUUGUGUAGGAUAGGUGGGAGGCUUUGAAGCGUGGACGCCAGUCUGCGUGGAGCCAACCUUGAAAUACCACCCUGGCAACUUUGAGGUUCUAACUCAGGUCCGUUAUCCGGAUCGAGGACAGUGUAUGGUGGGUAGUUUGACUGGGGCGGUCUCCUCCUAAAGAGUAACGGAGGAGUACGAAGGUGCGCUCAGACCGGUCGGAAAUCGGUCGUAGAGUAUAAAGGCAAAAGCGCGCUUGACUGCGAGACAGACACGUCGAGCAGGUACGAAAGUAGGUCUUAGUGAUCCGGUGGUUCUGUAUGGAAGGGCCAUCGCUCAACGGAUAAAAGGUACUCCGGGGAUAACAGGCUGAUACCGCCCAAGAGUUCAUAUCGACGGCGGUGUUUGGCACCUCGAUGUCGGCUCAUCACAUCCUGGGGCUGAAGCCGGUCCCAAGGGUAUGGCUGUUCGCCAUUUAAAGUGGUACGCGAGCUGGGUUUAGAACGUCGUGAGACAGUUCGGUCCCUAUCUGCCGUGAACGUUUGAGAUUUGAGAGGGGCUGCUCCUAGUACGAGAGGACCGGAGUGGACGAACCUCUGGUGUUCCGGUUGUCACGCCAGUGGCAUUGCCGGGUAGCUAUGUUCGGAAUAGAUAACCGCUGAAAGCAUCUAAGCGGGAAACUAGCCUCAAGAUGAGAUCUCACUGGAACCUUGAGUUCCCUGAAGGGCCGUCGAAGACUACGACGUUGAUAGGUGGGGUGUGUAAGCGCUGUGAGGCGUUGAGCUAACCCAUACUAAUUGCCCGUGAGGCUUGACCAA